rnacentral:rRNA from 1 species
ACACUCCUACGGGAGGCAGCAGUGGGGAAUUUUGGACAAUGGGCGAAAGCCUGAUCCAGCAAUGCCGCGUGUGUGAAGAAGGCCUUCGGGUUGUAAAGCACUUUUGUCCGGAAAGAAAUCCUUGGCUCUAAUACAGUCGGGGGAUGACGGUACCGGAAGAAUAAGCACCGGCUAACUACGUGCCAGCAGCCGCGGUAAUACGUAGGGUGCGAGCGUUAAUCGGAAUUACUGGGCGUAAAGCGUGCGCAGGCGGUUUGCUAAGACCGAUGUGAAAUCCCCGGGCUCAACCUGGGAACUGCAUUGGUGACUGGCAGGCUAGAGUAUGGCAGAGGGGGGUGGAAUUCCACGUGUAGCAGUGAAAUGCGUAGAGAUGUGGAGGAAUACCGAUGGCGAAGGCAGCCCCCUGGGCCAAUACUGACGCUCAUGCACGAAAGCGUGGGGAGCAAACAGGAUUAGAAACCCCGGUAGUCCCA